GAUAUAGAUGAUAAAGAAACGUAGUAAUGUUAUUAUGCUCCAAGUGUCGUAGACUAAGAAAUAAAAGACAAUACGAAUUUGUAGAAUACCUUAUAUCUUGACACGUGUGGAUAAACGUAUUCUGCUAUAAGUUAUGUUGUUAUAAAGCAGAGUAACGCUGAGAAUAACGGCAGACAAUUUGAGCAAACACCAGAGCACGACGUCGUUGAAUACGAACAGCCGACGUCUAGGGGACGUCUAGUUAUCGAGACGUCGACCCUCAUCCACGGACAUCUGUGGAUUUGCGCGAAAACUACUAAUAGAAAAAAGCACAAACUGGCAACGUUGAAUUAAAAAACGGUUUUGUAGAUACAUCAAAAGAAAAAGAGAAUCCUUUAGAAUGAUAGGAAUUAUCAAUAUGUCGAGCGACUUAUACGAGUACCUCCUUAUCUAUCGUGUCGCGUCGUCGUUAAUGAGUACCUAAUACAAGACCUAUUCUUUUUGUAUAUAUAUAACUUUAUUUAGUGUAUGUUACGUUGGUUAUCGAAUAAAUAAAAUAAAUGCAGUAAAUCUCAA